GCUGUGAUGGCCGAGCGGUUAAGACGUUGGACUUGAAAUCCAACGGGGUUCUUCCCCUCUCAGGUUCAAACCCUGCUCACAGUG